rnacentral:rRNA from 1 species
CCCUUAGAUGUUCUGGGCCGCACGCGUGCUACACUGAGUGGAUCAGCGGGUCAGGUUGCGCGAAAGCGUUUCCUAAUCUUUAAAUCCGCUCGUGAUGGGGAUUGACGGUUGCAAUUUUCUGUCAUGAACGAGGAAUACCUUGUAAUCGCGGUUUAUCAGCCCGCGUUGAAUGCGUCCCUGCCCUUUGUACACACCGCCCGUCGCUCCUACCGAUGAAUCGUCCGGUGAAGUUCAUGGAGGGGCGGUUGUUUCAACUGCCGUUGAAGUGAAAUGGACCUCACGAUUUAGAGGAAGGAGAAGUCGUAACA